rnacentral:pre_miRNA from 1 species
CAGAGGAUGUCCCGGGGCCACCUCUUUGGUUCUGUACAUAUUUUGUUAUUGUACAUAACCAUGGAGUUGGCUGUGGUGCACUCCAUCUG